UACGUAGGGUGCAAGCGUUGUCCGGAAUUAUUGGGCGUAAAGAGCUCGUAGGCGGCUUGUUGCGUCGACCGUGAAAACCCGCGGCUCAACUGCGGGCUUGCGGUCGAUACGGGCAGGCUGGAGUUCGGUAGGGGAGACUGGAAUUCUUGGUGUAGCGGUGAAAUGCGCAGAUAUCAGGAGGAACACCGGUGGCGAAGGCGGGUCUCUGGGCCGAUACUGACGCUGAGGAGCGAAAGCGUGGGGAGCGAACAGG
rnacentral:rRNA from 1 species